CCUGCUCAAUGAUUUUAAUUGAAUAGCUGCAGUAUUUUGACUGUACAAAGGUAGCAUAAUAAUUUGUCUUUUAAUUGGAGGCUGGAAUGAAUGGUUGGACGAGAGACAUACUUUCUUUAUUUAAUUUUAUGAAUUUUAUUUUUUAGUAAAAAAGCUAAAAUUAUUUUGUAAGACGAGAAGACCCUAUAGAAUUUUAUUAUUUUGAAUUUUAUUAUUUAUUAUUUAAUUUUUAUUUUAUUUAACUUAAUUUGGUUGGGGUGAUUACGAAAUUUUWAUAACUAUCGUUAUUUUUUUUCAUKAAUUAAUGUUAAUAAUGAUCCCAUAGUAUGGAUUAUAAGAUUAAAUUACCUUAGGGAUAACAGCGUAAUUUUUUCGGAGAGUUCAAAUCGAUGAAAUAGUUUGCGACCUCGAUGUUGGAUUAAAAUUAGUUUUGGGUGCAAAAGUUCAAUUAACUAGGUCU
rnacentral:rRNA from 1 species